rnacentral:rRNA from 1 species
UGCUAAAGCAAGGUCCAAAGAGAUCUACAUUGCGAUGCUGGACCUCGCCAAGGCCUUCGACUCGGUGCCGCACGAACGAAUUAUUAGAGCCCUUCGGCGGAAAAACGUGCAUCCCGCUUCAAUCGACCUAAUUGCUAACAUGUUGACGGGCACAACUUAUGCCGAAAUCAAAGGGCUGAAAGGGAACACGGUCCAAAUCUGCAACGGUGUCAGGCAAGGCGACCCCUUGUCGCCCCUAUUAUUCUGCCUAUUCCUGGACGAAAUGAUAGUGCGGCUACAAGAGAGUGGCCCGGCCUUCGACUUCAAGGGCAGAAAGAUAAGUGCGCUUGCAUUCGCCGACGACAUGACGCUGCUAGCUGACAGCGCAGCCGGGCUUAAAAUCCUGCUCAAAGUAGCAAGCGACUUCUUGGCUGAAUCCGGGAUGAUGCUGAACGCGGAUAAAUGCCUCACACUCAGCAUCUGCAGGUCUCCAAAGACCAAAAAGAUGUUUUCCAACCCGGUCAUAACAUUCAGCGUCGCAGACAGUCGAACUGGACAGACGGAUAGAAUGGAGAAGGACGCUUCAUGCUAGACGUGGAGCCGUGGUAGGAACUACAUCAUGGCAGUGAAAUUUCGAUCAAACACUGCAGCCACCCGGGCCGAGAACAACAGAGGCCGCACCGGCAUCAUAGAAUUCCGAGUUUGCAAAGGGGCCAAAGAAACACUGGCACACAUCUGCCAAAAGUGUCCGUCCAGUCAAAGCUUGGUUAUCCAGCGUCAUAACGCCAUCGUGGAUUUCCUAGAACAAGUGGCGCUACGCGACGGCUUCCAAGUGACAAAAGAGCCCAAGCUGCCAACCCCCGCCGGCGCUCUCAAGCAUGACCUCCUGCUCAUCAAGGCGAACACUGCAUUCAUUGUGGACGUUGGUGUAGCGUGGGAAGGAAGGCGCCCGCUCAAGCUAGUCAGCAAAAACAAGGUUGAAAACUACAAAGUUGCCAUUCCGGCCUUGUUGGAAAUCUGCAGAGUUGACCAUGCCGAAAGCCAUGGCGUUAUCUUGGGAAGCCGCGGUUGUUGGCUGAAGACCAACGACAAAACGUUGUCAACAAUCGGGCUCAAAGUCACACGCAGGAUGAAAGAACGCCUUAGCUGGUUGACAUUUGAACAUUCAAUCAGAAUUUACAACACCAUGAGAAACUGAUUGCUCAGUAUGUUCCGUUCAGUUACUGUCUACUUAUCACUGUUAAACAUGUUAACUAUUACUGUUGAUUUAUUGUUACCACGUUCGUUGUUUUCUAAGCACUCUGUUACCAUCGCUUUUACAUUUCAUUAUUACGGUAUUAUUAUUCCUUCUGCCUGCAAUUUCCAUCGUUGUUGCUUUUUUCUUGUUUUUAUUGCUUCGCUGUGCUUGUUUGUUUGUUUGUUAUUGUUCUUGUUUGGCCUAGGAUAUCGAUAAUCACACGCACCGCGGAACUGGACCGUAUAAGCCAGAAAUAUUAAAGUAACAAUAGCCAAAUGCCUAGUCAUUUAUUUAGUGACGCGUAUGAAUGGAUCAACAAGAUUCCUUCUGUCCCUAUCUACUAUCUAGCGAAACCACAGCCAAGGGAACGGGCUUGGCAAAAUCAGCGGGGAAAGAAGACCCUGUUGAGCUUGACUCUAGUCUGACUCUGUGAAGAGACAUGAAAGGUGUAGCAUAGGUGGGAGGCUGCAGUAGGGCGCUGUUUGGUGUCUCUGUGGUCGCCAAUGAAAUACCACUACUUUGAUCGUUUCUUUACUUAUUCGGUAAAGCGAAAAAAUUGUGGCCAAUUUGGCGGUCUGUCCGCUGUUGGUCAUUGUUUUAAUGUUGGAUUGAAGCUUUGUUUAUAGCCGUCGCUUUGCGUCGCCGUUUGAUGCAUUGGCUGGGUGCGUUUUUGCGCGCGCGCGGUAAUGUUGUCAGCGGAUGAUCGGCGAUUGGUUUGAAGUGAUUCGCUCCGGAAACAGUGUCAGACGGGGAGUUUGACUGGGGCGGUACAUCUGUUAAACGAUAACGCAGGUGUCCUAAGGUAAGCUCAGCGAGGACAGAAACCUCGCCUAGAGUAAACGGGCACAAGCUUACUUGAUUUUGAUUUCCAGUACGAAUAAAAACCGCGAAAGCGUGGCCUAUCGAUCCUUUUGAUUGUGUAGAUUUCAUGCAAGAGGUGUCAGAAAAGUUACCACAGGGAUAACUGGCUUGUGGCAGCCAAGCGUCCAUAGCGACGUUGCUUUUUGAUCCUUCGAUGUCGGCUCUUCCUAUCAUUGCGAAGCAGAAUUCGCCAAGCGUUGGAUUGUUCACCCACCAAUAGGGAACGUGAGCUGGGUUUAGACCGUCGUGAGACAGGUUAGUUUUACCCUACUGAUGACAAGUCGUUGCGAUAGUAAUCCUGCUCAGUACGAGAGGAACCGCGGGAUCAGACAUUUGGUUCAUGCGCUCGGCUGAAAGGCCGGUGGCGCGAAGCUAGCAUCUGCAAGAUUAUGACUGAACGCCUCUAAGUCAGAAUCUUUUCUAGUCAUUGGCAACGAUAAGUUGCGUCCGGACUCGAUGCGAGGAAACGAUUAGGCUUUGCUGUGUUUU